AUUGAACGCUGGCGGCAGGCCUAACACAUGCAAGUCGAGCGGAUGAAGGGAGCUUGCUCCUGGAUUCAGCGGCGGACGGGUGAGUAAUGCCUAGGAAUCUGCCUGGUAGUGGGGGAUAACGUCCGGACACGGGCGCUAAUACCGCAUCCGUCCUGAGGGUGAAAGUGGGGGAUCUUCGGACCUCACGCUAUCUGCUGACCCUAGGUCGGAUUAGCUAGUUGGUGGGGUAAAGGCCUACCAAGGCGACGAUCCGUAACUGGUCUGAGAGGAUGAUCAGUCACACUGGAACUGAGACACGGUCCAGACUCCUACGGGAGGCAGCAGUGGGGAAUAUUGGACAAUGGGCGAAAGCCUGGUCCAGCCAUGCCGCGUGUGUGAAGAAGGUCUUCGGAUUGUAAAGCACUUUAAGUUGGGAGGAAGGGAAGUAAGUUAAUACCUUGCUGUUUUGACGUUACCAACAGAAUAAGCACCGGCUAACUUCGUG
rnacentral:rRNA from 1 species